UACUGGGCGUAAAGCGCACGCAGGCGGUUGGAUAAGUUAGAUGUGAAAGCCCCGGGCUCAACCUGGGAAUUGCAUUUAAAACUGUCCAGCUAGAGUCUUGUAGAGGGGGGUAGAAUUCCAGGUGUAGCGGUGAAAUGCGUAGAGAUCUGGAGGAAUACCGGUGGCGAAGGCGGCCCCCUGGACAAAGACUGACGCUCAGGUGCGAAAGCGUGGGGAGCAAACAGGAUUAGAUACCCUGGUAGUCCACGCCGUAAACGAUGUCGAUUUGGAGGCUGUGUCCUUGAGACGUGGCUUCCGGAGCUAACGCGUUAAAUCGACCGCCUGGGGAGUACGGCCGCAAGGUUAAAACUCAAAUGAAUUGACGGGGGCCCGCACAAGCGGUAAUCGAA
rnacentral:rRNA from 1 species